UACGUAGGUGACCAGCGUUGUCCGGAUUUACUGGGCGUAAAGAGCGCGCAGGCGGUCGUUCAAGUCGAGUGUGAAAGCCCCCGGCUCAACUGGGGAGGGUCACUCGAUACUGAUCGACUUGAAGGCAGGAGAGGGAAGCGGAAUUCCCGGUGUAGCGGUGAAAUGCGCAGAUAUCAGGAGGAACACCGGUGGCGAAGGCGGGUCUCUGGGCAGUAACUGACGCUGAGGAGCGAAAGCGUGGGGAGCGAACAGG
rnacentral:rRNA from 1 species